rnacentral:rRNA from 1 species
AGAGUUUGAUUAUGGCUCAGGACGAACGCUGGCGGCGUGCCUAACACAUGCAAGUCGAACGGUCCGGUGUCUAACACCGAGUAUUUUAGGAGCUUUUAAGUUGGUGACAGCGAGAGCGCGAAGAAUGAGCGCUCCACGCAUUAAAUAAGCGCCAACACAAAGCAGAGAAUACUGGGUGUUAGAUGCUGGAUAGUGGCGGACGGGUGAGUAACGCGUGGGUAACCUACCUAUAAGACCGGGACAACCCUUGGAAACGAGGGCUAAUACCGGAUACGCUUAAGAGCUGGCAUCAGCUUUUAAGGAAAGAUGGCCUCUGAAUAUGCUAUCGUUUAUAGAUGGAUCCGCGUCUGAUUAGCUAGUUGGUGGGGUAAAGGCCUACCAAGGCGACGAUCAGUAGCCGGCCUGAGAGGGUGAACGGCCACACUGGGACUGAGACACGGCCCAGACUCCUACGGGAGGCAGCAGUGGGGAAUCUUCCGCAAUGGACGAAAGUCUGACGGAGCAACGCCGCGUGUACGACGAAGGCCUUCGGGUUGUAAAGUACUGUCUUCAGGGACGAACGGUAUUUGUGUAAAUAAUGCAGAUACAUGACGGUACCUGAGGAGGAAGCCCCGGCUAACUACGUGCCAGCAGCCGCGGUAAUACGUAGGGGGCAAGCGUUGUCCGGAAUCAUUGGGCGUAAAGGGCGCGUAGGCGGAUAUUUAAGUCUGGUGUGAAAACCUAGGGCUCAACCCUGGGACUGCAUCGGAAACUGGGUAUCUUGAGGACAGGAGAGGAAAGUGGAAUUCCACGUGUAGCGGUGAAAUGCGUAGAUAUGUGGAGGAACACCAGUGGC